UACAGAGGAUGCAAGCGUUAUCCGGAAUGAUUGGGCGUAAAGCGUCUGUAGGUGGCUUUUUAAGUCCGCCGUCAAAUCCCAGGGCUCAACUCUGGACAGGCGGUGGAAACUACCAAGCUGGAGUACGGUAGGGGCAGAGGGAAUUUCCGGUGGAGCGGUGAAAUGCGUAGAGAUCGGAAAGAACACCAGCGGCGAAGGCAAUCUGCUGGGCCGACACUGACACUGAGAGACGAAAGCUAGGGGAGCGAAUGGG
rnacentral:rRNA from 1 species